GAUGAACGCUGGCGGCGUGCCUAAUACAUGCAAGUCGAGCGAACAGACGAGGAGCUUGCUCCUCUGACGUUAGCGGCGGACGGGUGAGUAACACGUGGAUAACCUACCUAUAAGACUGGGAUAACUUCGGGAAACCGGCGCUAAUACCGGAUAAUAUAUUGAACCGCAUGGUUCAAUAGUGAAAGACGGUUUUGCUGGCACUUAUAGAUGGAUCCGCGCCGCAUUAGCUAGUUGGUAAGGUAACGGCUUACCAAGGCAACGAUGCGUAGCCGACCUGAGAGGGUGAUCGGCCACACUGGAACUGAGACACGGUCCAGACUCCUACGGGAGGCAGCAGUAGGGAAUCUUCCGCAAUGGGCGAAAGCCUGACGGAGCAACGCCGCGUGAGUGAUGAAGGUCUUCGGAUCGUAAAACUCUGUUAUUAGGGAAGAACAAAUGUGUAAGUAACUAUGCACGUCUUGACGGUACCUAAUCAGAAAGCCACGGCUAACUACGUG
rnacentral:rRNA from 1 species